CUCCUCCUCCCGCACUCACGCGCCGCCUCUGCUCGCCAGCCCUCUCCCACCCACAUCGCCGCCCCACCCACAUCGCCGCCGACGCCGCUCGUCAGACCUCGCCGCCACUGACUUCUCUCCUCAUCUCCCUCGCACCACGCCGCCCGCAACCUCCCUUCUCUCGUCAUGAGAAGGGACGGGAAGAGAAGAGGGAGAGCGAGCAGGUCAGGCGGCGGCCAUGGCGCUCGCAGAUCCGCCAGAGCUGUUGUUCGACCCUGGCCUCCGAGUGCUUCUGCUCAGUGGCGUGACGUACGGGCUGCCUGCUUCGCGCUCAUGCCAUGGCCUGCUUGGGACGCCGCCUCCUGCUGCUCCAACCCUAACCCUAGCAUUGCUGCUGCUGCUCCAGGGAUGGGAGGGUUUUAUAAUUCUAAUGAUGUUCCAGCUAGGAGAAGGCAAACUCACAAACAUAAGCCAGUUUUUCCGUGGGCGCUGGCCUUGGAUACAUGAUUUCUUGACCUAACGUGACACACCAUCCUCCUCUGCCAGCCGCGUACAGGCCCGCCCUUCUUACUCUAGCAGCAGAAGAUCAUGGAGGAGGCCGCGUCGGGCUCGCUGUGUUGCCAUCAUCGGGACGAGUGGAGGCUGCCGCUUGCGCAGAUGCUUCCAGGAGGAGCGCCAGAGCGCAUUGUCGCCAUCGAUAGGAGGAACACCAGACGGGAAUCAAGCCAAGGGAGCUGGACCUAUGGUGCUGCCAGCGCAGCACUUAAGGGCUUGGAGGUUGACAAGGCGAAAGAGGCCUGUUGUCAGCCACCAAAUUAUGAUGUUGAGUACUGCCCGAGCGGAAGAUAGCAAGGCGGUUGAUGUAGGAUAUGGAGUAAGCAGAGAUAGCGGCAGUGGACGCAACUACCACGUCGGUGGGCGCACCAGAGGCACAACACAAGGACAUUCAAAAGGCAGUGACUGUUUGCCUCUGCUGUAUCGACGACCCUGAUCAUGUUGGACAGAUAAAUAAGAUAUUACUAGAUGUGAAGUUCUUUCCUCUACAUGGACGGGUGCGGCAAUCGCACGCAUUUGUGAUCUAGGAUAAAUGCUUUUGCUUUAUCAUAGGCCACUAAACAUGCUAAGCUUGCGUGGCUGGAACACACGCUUUGCGGGAGAAGCACGAGGCGCUGCACCUCUGACCCUGUAGUGCUUGGCUCCAAUUCAUCAGGGAAGACGCCGGCAAGCAUCAAGCUGCCCUUGGUGCUUCCUCGUCAUCAAGGAGGAGGACGUCAGGAAGCGCCGUCCUCAAGGUUGCCAUCGCUCCUCGGCGCUCUGCGGGCACAACCGUCACCACACCACAGAGAAGGACGUGGAUGUGAUGCUGCUCCUUCUUGUGGUGUAUGCGUCGGCGUGGCUUGCGGUAAUGAGGCAUAUCCUCGUGGGUAAUGCUAUUUGAAGACCAUUCAUGUGAUUUAAAAGAGAAGAUGUCCAGAAUGUCUAAGGAGGUUGAAGAUGACGAUCAAAAGAUUGAUCCAUUAAGUGACUGCCAAGAUGCCAAUAAUGCUUGCCCCGUGCCAUUAGUAAUACCCUUGCUCUUUAUGAAAUCUUUCCUAUUAUAUAUUGAUGCAACAAUUAUCGUUGCAGUUUGUGAGAUCCUUAUUUACAUACAUCACUCAGCGGCUGGCCUGUACAGAGUUGCGUGGCAGGCAUAUGUGUUCCCAACCAUGUUAUCAAUUGUAGGCUUGGAAUGAUUUGCGUCAUCCAAGUGUUGUUUGUCAACAAUUCCUUUUUUUGUCCAUGUCGAUUCUGAUUUUAGAGGACACAUAUGUUUCGGAACUAUAUUGUUUCUAUGUUUUUCCCUGAUAUAUACUAAUUGAUGCAGUAAUUGAUGUUUCAGAUUAUGAAAUUC